AACGAACGCUGGCGGCGGGCCUCAUACAUGCAAGUCGAGCGCGAAAGUCCGCAAGGAUGAGUAAAGCGGCGCACGGGUGAGAAACGCGUGGGUAAUCUACCCUUUGGAUUGGAAUAACCUGUCGAAAGACGGGCUAAUGCCAAGUAAGCUCCCUCGAUCAUAAAGUUCGAGUGAGGAAAGGUGGCGCAAGCUACCGCCGAAGGAUGAGCCUGCGUCCCAUUAGCUAGUUGGUAAGGUAAUGGCUUACCAAGGCAACGAUGGGUAGCUGGUCUGAGAGGAUGAUCAGCCACACUGGAACUGAAACACGGUCCAGACUCCUACGGGAGGCAGCAGUAGGGAAUAUUGCGCAAUGGGCGAAAGCCUGACGCAGCCACGCCGCGUGAGUGAAGAAGGCCUUC
rnacentral:rRNA from 1 species